rnacentral:rRNA from 1 species
UACGUAGGGACCAAGCGUUGUUCGGAUUUACUGGGCGUAAAGGGCGCGUAGGCGGCGUGUUAAGUCAGCUGUGAAAUCUCCGAGCUUAACUCGGAACGGUCAGCUGAUACUGAUGUGCUAGAGUGCAGAAGGGGCAAUCGGAAUUCUUGGUGUAGCGGUGAAAUGCGCAGAUAUCGGGAAGAACACCCGUGGCGAAGGCGGCUCUCUGGGACGGUACUGAUGCUGAGGAGCGAAAGCGUGGGGAGCGAACAGG